GGAAGGAUCAUUAAUGGUUUAUUUUUUUUUUUUUUUUUUUUUGCGGAAAAAAAAAACGCGAAAAAAAAAAAAACACCCCAUGUGUGCACCUGAGUGAAAUAAAAUAAAAAAAACACAACUUGGACGGGGAAAUUCUCUCUCUCUCUCCCUCUCUCUCACUCUCACGAGAGACAGAGAGAAAGGGGAGGAAAAGAAAAAACCGUCCAGGCGUGUAAAACAAAACAAAACAAAAACCACCUCUCGCGUGUGUGGAAAAGGUAGACAAAAAAACAAAAAAACAAAAACAAAAAAAACAACUUUCAACAACGGAUCUCUUGGUUCUCGCAUCGAUGAAGAACGCAGCGAAUUGUGAAAAGUAAUGUGAAUUGCAGAAUUCAGUGAAUCAUCGAAUCUUUGAACGCAUAUUGCACUCUCUGGUAUUCCGGGGAGUACGCCUGUUUGGAGCGUGAAUGUACGUGGUCGGCGAUUUGGGAACCCAUUUCGUCGGAUUCGUGAGCGAUUUGCCGAGGUUUUUUUUUUUGGUGGGUUUGGUGCAUCGCGCCACUCUCUCCUCUCUCUCUCUCUCUUGGCUCGCUCGAAAAGCAGAACGACCGAACGACCUGCUCUCUUUUUUGGUACCUUGCUGGACGGGUGUUUCGCGGUUUCACACUUAGGCGUGUUAAGUGUCUCGCACAUGUUUUACGCUCGCCCUAAGUUUUUUUUUUUGCUGAUCCUGCGACGAACUUGUCCCCCCAACGCACGCAAGUACCAUUUUUUUGUUAGCGCGGUCGGAUUUUUUUGGGUCUUUGUCCGUGGAAGGUUUGACGAUUCGCGCGUGUUUUGUGCGCGCGCGUCUCCUCAUUCAAAUUUUUACCUGAAAUCAGGUGGGAUUACCCGCUGAACUUAAGCAUAUCAAUAAGCGGAGGAAAAGAAACUAACAAGGAUUCCCCUAGUAACGGCGAGUGAAGCGGGAACAGCUCAAAUUUGGAAUCUGGCGGGCUCGCCCCCGUCCCGAGUUGUAAUCUGAAGAAGCGUUUUCCGCGGGCGGCCCGGGUACAAGUCCCUUGGAACAGGGCAUCAUGGAGGGUGAGAAUCCCGUCUGUGACCCGAUGGCCCUGCCUGCUUAUGCGAUACGCUUUCCUAGAGUCGGGUUGUUUGGGAAUGCAGCCCAAAAUUGGGUGGUAAAUUUCAUCUAAGGCUAAAUACAGGCGAGAGACCGAUAGCGAACAAGUACCGUGAGGGAAAGAUGAAAAGAACUUUGAAAAGAGAGUUAAACAGUACGUGAAAUUGUUGAAAGGGAAACGUUUGGAACCAGUCAUGCCUGCAGGGAAAUCAGCCUGGCCCCCAACGCCUGGUGCACUCCCCCUGCAUAGGAGGCGGAUUUUCGGAUCCCCUUCUCUCGGGCAGGUCAGCGUCGGUUUUGACCACCGGAUAAGAGCCUUGGGAAUGUGGCUCUCACUUGUCUUGGGAGUGUUAUAGCCCUGGUUGAUACGGUGGUUGGGACCGAGGUCCGCAGCCGAUGCCCCCACUCUUCGUUGGGGCUGGGACGCCCGUCGCUCGCACCGACCCCUGGAUGGACAGCUUUUGCUUGACCACCCUCGCAGCUGGUACGACACGGCGGCAAACGUCCACACACAUCGUUUUUUGCUUAGGUCGCUGACUUAAUGGUUUUAAAUGACCCGUCUUGAAACACGGACCAAGGAGUCUAACAUGUAUGCGAGUGUUUGGGUGGCAAACCCAUGCGCGCAAUGAAAGUGAACGUAGGUGGGAUCCCCCCUUCCCCCCUCGUGGGUGGGGGAGCACCAUCGACCGAUCUGGAUCAUCCUGUGAUAGAUUUGAGUGAGAGCAUACCUGUUGGGACCCGAAAGAUGGUGAACUAUGCCUGAAUAGGGUGAAGCCAGAGGAAACUCUGGUGGAGGCUCGUAGCGAUUCUGACGUGCAAAUCGAUCGUCGAAUUUGGGUAUAGGGGCGAAAGACUAAUCGAACCAUCUGGUAGCUGGUUCCUGC
rnacentral:misc_RNA from 1 species